GUGGGGAAUAUUGGGCAAUGGGCGCAAGCCUGACCCAGCAACGCCGCGUGAAGGAAGAAGGCUUUCGGGUUGUAAACUUCUUUUACCAGGGACGAAAAAAAUGACGGUACCUGGAGAAUAAGCCACGGCUAACUACGUGCCAGCAGCCGCGGUAAUACGUAGGUGGCAAGCGUUGUCCGGAUUUACUGGGUGUAAAGGGCGCGUAGGCGGGAGAGCAAGUCAGGAGUGAAAUCUAUGGGCUUAACCCAUAAAUUGCUUUUGAAACUGUUUUUCUUGAGUGAUGGAGAGGCAAGCGGAAUUCCUAGUGUAGCGGUGAAAUGCGUAGAUAUUAGGAGGAACACCAGUGGCGAAGGCGGCUUGCUGGACAUUAACUGACGCUGAUGCGCGAAAGCGUGGGGAGCAAACAGGAUUAGAUACCCUUGUAGUCC
rnacentral:rRNA from 1 species